UUGCAUGAGCAAGAACCACUGGCACCAAAGGAGAAGAAAUCCUGCCACAAUCCGGGACAGAAUGAAGGAGGCAAGGAGAGACGGAGAGAAUGGUAAAGAUUGGAGAAAAUUUGAUAGAGAGCUGAUAACCUACCCUCAGUGUGCUUUCUCUUGGUUCUUAUUGGCGAAGUCACUGAUUGGGAUCCAGAACCAGCUUCCUUUUCAGCCUGGACUCAAACCACUUGUGGCAGCUCCCCACAGCAGGCGCCACAGUAGACUAGCAAACACAGAGAUCCCCGCUGGGAUAGAAGACAUACUUUCAAGCUGCAAGGAGCCCAUUGCCAAAACUUAG
rnacentral:lncRNA from 12 species